rnacentral:rRNA from 1 species
AUUGAACGCUGGCGGCAGGCCUAACACAUGCAAGUCGAACGAGUGGCGGAAGGGUGAGUAAUGUCUGGGAAACUGCCCGAUGGAGGGGGAUAACUACUGGAAACGGUAGCUAAUACCGCAUACCAUCAGAUGUGCCCAGAUGGGAUUAGCUAGUAGGUGGGGUAAUGGCUCACCUAGGCGACGAUCCCUAGCUGGUCUGGGAGGAUGACCAGCCACACUGGAACUGAGACACGGCCCAGACUCCUACGGUAGGAAGCAGUGGGGAAUAUUGCACAAUGGGCGCAAGCCUGAUGCAGCCAUGCCGCGUGUGUGAAGAAGGCCGUCGGGUUGUAAAGUACUUUCAGCGAGGAGGCGUUACUCGCAGAAGAAGCACCGGCUAACUCCGUGCCAGCAGCCGCGGUAAUAC